AUACGUAGGUGGCAAGCGUUGUCCGGAUUUACUGGGUGUAUAGGGCGUGUAGGCGGAGAUGCAAGUCAGGAGUGAAAUCUAGGGGCUCAACCCCUAAACUGCUUUUGAAACUGUAUCCCUUGAGUAUCGGAGAGGCAGGCGGAAUUCCUCGUGUAGCGGUGAAAAGCGUAGAUAUUAGGAGGAACACCAGUGGCGAAGGCGGCCUGCUGGACGACAACUGACGCUGAGGCGCGAAAGCGUGGGGAGCAAACAGGAUUAGAUACCCUGGUAGUCCACGCUGUAAACGAUGAAUACUAGGUGUGGGGGGACUGACCCCCUCCGUGCCACAGUAAACACAAUAAGCAUUCCGCCUGGGGAGUACGGUCGCAAGAUUAAAACUCAAAGGAAUUGACGGG
rnacentral:rRNA from 1 species